UAAUGUGUUUUGAUGUUUAUGACAUCUGUCAACUCCUUAAUCGCCUUAGUUGAUUUGGUAAAUCUGGCUGGCUAUGCGAGUGUCUUCUUUCUCACCCACAAUUCCAUGUGUGUCCCUUCUUGAAGUAGGAUGUUUAGUGGAAGAGGAUGACUAUCCCAGAUAGAAGUGUACUGUCAGUCAAGGCCUUGCAAUAUCUAUGCUUUCUUGCUACAGCUUGCAAGCAAGCUCAACAUCCAUGUAUAGGAGAACGUAGUGUCAAGAGUUACAAUACAGUUGGCCUUCCACACUUGGGGAUUUGACUUUUGU
rfam:Anolis carolinensis unplaced genomic scaffold chrTn0051, whole genome shotgun sequence.